GCCUAUCACCAUUCCAGAUUGAAUAUACCCGAUCUCGUCUGAUCUCGGAAGUCAAGUAAUCUCGCGCUUGGUUAGUACUUGGAUGGGUGACCGCUUGGGAAUACCAAGUGUGAUAAGCA
rnacentral:rRNA from 1 species